GAUGAACGCUGGCGGCGUGCCUAAUACAUGCAAGUCGAACGAAACUUCUUUAUCACCGAGUGCUUGCACUCACCGAUAAAGAGUUGAGUGGCGAGCGGGUGAGUAACACGUGGGCAACCUGCCCAAAAGAGGGGGAUAACACUUGGAAACAGGUGCUAUUACCGCAUAACCAUAGUUACCGCAUGGUAACUAUGUAAAAGGUGGCUUUACUACCGCUUUUGGAUGGGCCCGCGGCGCAUUAGCUAGUUGGUAGGGUAAAGGCUUACCAAGGCAAGGAUGCGUAGCCGAAUUGAGAGGGUGAUCGGCCACAUUGGGACUGAGACACGGCCCAAACUCCUACGGGAGGCAGCAGUAGGGAAUCUUCCACAAUGGGCGAAAGCCUGAUGGAGCAACGCCGCGUGGGUGAAGAAGGUCUUCGGAUCGUAAAACCCUGUUGUUAGAGAAGAAAGUGCGUGAGAGUAACUGUUCACGUUUCGACGGUAUCUAACCGGAAAGCCACGGCUAACUACGUG
rnacentral:rRNA from 1 species